rnacentral:pre_miRNA from 1 species
AGUUCAAUUGCUGGAUCAUAUGGCAAGCCUGUGUUUAGUUUUAUAAAAAACUACCAUACUGUCUUUCAGAGUCGCCAUACUAAUUGCAUUCCCACAAGCAAU